rnacentral:rRNA from 1 species
AUGGCCGGUGCACAAGGAAAGCAACAACGCACCAUCUCGGGUGGUUCCAAGUCGCGGCCAUCACAGGACGGCUCCCAGUCGCCGCCUUCGGAGGAGCGGCGAGGGCGCAGCCGGUCGAGGCAUGACCAUCACGGUGAGGUCAUGGUUAGGGAGAUCGUGCGCGAGACCGCAAUCAGCGGUAGCGUACCCAUCACCUUCCUGAUGCUCACGCGCUCGAACUACAACGAGUGGGCGUUGAUCAUGGAGUGCAACCUCCAUGCCGCGAGCCUCUGGGUUCCCAUGGAGGGCGACCUGGUCGAGAGAAAGGAGGACAGGAAAGCCGCGGCGGCACUCAUGCACGCCACGCUGCCGGAGAUGCACGGCAUGCUCGCGGCGAAGGCAAGCGCCAAGGAGGCGUGGGAAGCCAUCCGUACCCAGUGCCUCGGCAGCAACCGCGUGCGCGAGGCGAACACGCAGAAGCUGCGGGCGGACUUCGAGAACAUCACCUUCAAGGAGGGCGAGCUCGUCGACGACUUCGCCAUGCGGAUCUCUAGCCUUGCAUCGCAGCUCCGCGCGCUCGGCGACACCAUGGACGACGCGAGUCGUGAGGAAAUUUCUCCGCAUCAUGCCACCUCGCUUCGCUCAGGUAGCGGUCUCCAUCGAGACUUUGCUUGA